rnacentral:rRNA from 1 species
GCGGCGGUAUAUUUAAACCAGGCCACGCAAGUCGUAACAAGGUAACCGUAGAGUUUGAUUCCUGGCUCAGGACGAACGCUGGCGGCGUGCCUAAUACAUGCAAGUCGAACGAACUCUGGUAUUGAUUGGUGCUUGCAUCAUGAUUUACAUUUGAGUGAGUGGCGAACUGGUGAGUAACACGUGGGAAACCUGCCCAGAAGCGGGGGAUAACACCUGGAAACAGAUGCUAAUACCGCAUAACAACUUGGACCGCAUGGUCCGAGCUUGAAAGAUGGCUUCGGCUAUCACUUUUGGAUGGUCCCGCGGCGUAUUAGCUAGAUGGUGGGGUAACGGCUCACCAUGGCAAUGAUACGUAGCCGACCUGAGAGGGUAAUCGGCCACAUUGGGACUGAGACACGGCCCAAACUCCUACGGGAGGCAGCAGUAGGGAAUCUUCCACAAUGGACGAAAGUCUGAUGGAGCAACGCCGCGUGAGUGAAGAAGGGUUUCGGCUCGUAAAACUCUGUUGUUAAAGAAGAACAUAUCUGAGAGUAACUGUUCAGGUAUUGACGGUAUUUAACCAGAAAGCCACGGCUAACUACGUGCCAGCAGCCGCGGUAAUACGUAGGUGGCAAGCGUUGUCCGGAUUUAUUGGGCGUAAAGCGAGCGCAGGCGGUUUUUUAAGUCUGAUGUGAAAGCCUUCGGCUCAACCGAAGAAGUGCAUCGGAAACUGGGAAACUUGAGUGCAGAAGAGGACAGUGGAACUCCAUGUGUAGCGGUGAAAUGCGUAGAUAUAUGGAAGAACACCAGUGGCGAAGGCGGCUGUCUGGUCUGUAACUGACGCUGAGGCUCGAAAGUAUGGGUAGCAAACAGGAUUAGAUACCCUGGUAGUCCAUACCGUAAACGAUGAAUGCUAAGUGUUGGAGGGUUUCCGCCCUUCAGUGCUGCAGCUAACGCAUUAAGCAUCCGCCUGGAGACGCCCCC